rnacentral:rRNA from 1 species
CUGCCCUUUGUACACACCGCCCGUCGCUACUACCGAUUGAAUGGCUCAGUGAGGCGUCCGGACUGGCCCAGAGAGGUGGGCAACUACCACUCAGGGCCGGAAAGCUCUCCAAACUCGGUCAUUUAGAGGAAGUAAAAGUCGUAACAAGGUCUCCGUUGGUGAACCAGCGGAGGGAUCAUUACCGAGUUAUACAACUCAUCAACCCUGUGAACAUACCUAAAACGUUGCUUCGGCGGGAACAGACGGCCCUGUAACAACGGGCCGCCCCCGCCAGAGGACCCCUAACUCUGUUUUUAUAAUGUUUUUCUGAGUAAACAAGCAAAUAAAUUAAAACUUUCAACAACGGAUCUCUUGGCUCUGGCAUCGAUGAAGAACGCAGCGAAAUGCGAUAAGUAAUGUGAAUUGCAGAAUUCAGUGAAUCAUCGAAUCUUUGAACGCACAUUGCGCCCGCCAGUAUUCUGGCGGGCAUGCCUGUUCGAGCGUCAUUACAACCCUCAGGCCCCCGGGCCUGGCGUUGGGGAUCGGCGGAAGCCCCCUGUGGGCACACGCCGUCCCUCAAAUACAGUGGCGGUCCCGCCGCAGCUUCCAUUGCGUAGUAGCUAACACCUCGCAACUGGAGUGCACGCGGCCAUGCCGUAAAACACCCAACUUCUGAAUGUUGACCUCGGAUCAGGUAGGAAUACCCGCUGAACUUAAG